rnacentral:lncRNA from 1 species
CACGAAGUUAAGUAUCAGGUGCAGUCUAACAGAUUAUUCAUCUCCUUUCAGCAGUGUACUUGUAAAUUGGGUCUUCUCAAAACUCACUCUAACCAAAUGGAUAAGGUUCUGUUAAGGAAGCACAGGAAAGCUUUUCUGUUCCCCUUGACAACUAGUUCUUCUAGGUGGCCUGCUGAUAGCAUGUGCUCAUUUUGGUGCAUAUGUGUAUGGGACAGACAUAGACUACAACACAGUUCAUGGCUUGGGAAAGGCUACUAGGAAAAACCAGAAGUGGAGAGGACCAGAUGAAAACAUUAGGGCCAAUCUUCGUCAAUAUGGUUUAGAGAAGUAUUACCUUGAUGUCCUGGUUUCAGAUGCAUCUAAACCUUCCUGGAGGAAGGGCACAUAUUUUGAUGCAAUCAUUACUGAUCCUCCAUAUGGUAUCAGAGAAUCUACAAGAAGAACAGGUUCACAGAAGGAGAUACCAAAGGGGAUAGAAAAAUGGGAAAAAUGUCCAGAAAGCCAUGUUCCUGUUUCCUUGAGUUAUCAUCUGAGUGAUAUGUUUCUUGACCUGUUAAACUUCGCAGCUGAGACCCUCGUUUUAGGUGGAAGACUAGUCUAUUGGUUACCGGUGUAUACGCCAGAAUACACUGAAGAGAUGGUGCCUUGGCACCCUUGCCUGGAACUCGUUAGCAACUGCGAGCAGAAGCUUUCCAGUCACACAUCAAGGCGCUUGAUCACAAUGGAAAAGGUGAAGAAAUUUGAGAAUCGGGACCAGUAUUCACAUCUGCUAAGUGAUCAUUUUCUGCCAUACCAAGGUCAUAAUUCCUUCCGUGAGAAAUAUUUUAGUGGGGUAACAAAAAGAAUUGCCAAGGAAGAAAAAUCCACCCAGGAAUGAAAAUUAAGAUUUUGACAAUGAAGAAAGAAUAAGAAUUUGAUUUAAAAAGACA